UCCUCGGUAGCUCAGUCGGUAGAGCACCUGACUGUUAAUCAGGGAGUCACUGGUUCGAGUCCAGUUCGGGGAG
rnacentral:tRNA from 1 species